AUGGCUUACUAUUCAGAUCACCAUGCUUAUGCGAGCAACACUACAAACAGCACAGAAAGUAUUCAAGACCUGAUAAGUAAGAUUUCCCAUCGAUUAGAUGAUUUAGCUUGGCAGCGAGAAGUAGUUUUUGAGGAUAGGCCUAGCUCUUAUGAUCCUUAUUCUAGAGGCCAUCCUUAUGUUGCUCCCACCUGCCAUAUUCGUGGAUUGCAGGGCCAUUCACCUGCUGAAUGUCAGCGUGGUUACUCUCACCCUCCCGAUUGUUAUGGCAUGAGCUUCGCCCCACAGCCUAGCUCACACCAAAACAAUUACUCAUAUGGGUGGCCUGAAAACCAGAAUAUGUCAUAUAGGAGCAACAACCUUGAGAUCUCAUCGUUUGCUUCUAGUAAUCAUAUGCAGGGAUUUAGGUAUGAAGAGGAGAGCAACAACUAUGCACCACAACAAUUUUAUUCACCUCCUACUCAUAUACCUCAACACCAGGAGAUGUGUCCAAUGGAGCUAAAUGGUCCUCCACUUGGUCAACCAACAACUCCAGCACAUGUUGAGCAAUCUCAUGCACAAGUGCCCACACAAGAUGACUUUGAUGAUAUAGACAAGCUCACAUUGCUUAGUCUCGAGUUCACUUGGAGUGUUGAAGAUGAUCCAAUUAGGCCGAUGAUACUAGAGGAAAUGAAGAAGAUCAAGAGUGGAAAGAGCUAG
rnacentral:rRNA from 1 species